UAGGGAAUCUUCGGCAAUGGGGGCAACCCUGACCGAGCAACGCCGCGUGAGUGAUGACGGCCUUCGGGUUGUAAAGCUCUGUUAAUCGGGACGAAUGGUUCUUGUGCGAAUAGUGCGAGGAUUUGACGGUACCGGAAUAGAAAGCCACGGCUAACUACGUGCCAGCAGCCGCGGUAAUACGUAGGUGGCAAGCGUUGUCCGGAAUUAUUGGGCGUAAAGCGCGCGCAGGCGGAUUGGUCAGUCUGUCUUAAAAGUUCGGGGCUUAACCCCGUGAUGGGAUGGAAACUGCCAAUCUAGAGUAUCGGAGAGGAAAGUGGAAUUCCUAGUGUAGCGGUGAAAUGCGUAGAUAUUAGGAAGAACACCAGUGGCGAAGGCGACUUUCUGGACGAAAACUGACGCUGAGGCGCGAAAGCCAGGGGAGCGAACGGGAUUAGAUACCCCGGUAGUCCUGGCCGUAAACGAUGGGUACUAGGUGUAGGAGGUAUCGACCCCUUCUGUGCCGGAGUUAACGCAAUAAGUACCCCGCCUGGGGAGUACGACCGCAAGGUUG
rnacentral:rRNA from 1 species